AGAAUCAACGCUGGCGGCGUGCCUAACACAUGCAAGUCGCACGAGAAAGGGUAGCAAUACCUGAGUAAAGUGGCGCACGGGUGAGUAACACGUGAAUCAUCUACCUCCGAGUGGGGAAUAACCUAGAGAAAUCUGGGCUAAUACCGCAUAACACUUACGAGUCAAAGCAGCAAUGCGCUUGGAGAGGAGUUCGCGGCCGAUUAGCUAGUUGGCGGGUAAUGGCCCACAAGGCGAUGAUCGGUA
rnacentral:rRNA from 1 species